AUUGAACGCUGGCGGCAUGCCUUACACAUGCAAGUCGAACGGCAGCACGGGAGCAAUCCUGGUGGCGAGUGGCGAACGGGUGAGUAACGCAUCGGAACGUGCCCAGUCGUGGGGGAUAGCCCGGCGAAAGCCGGAUUAAUACCGCAUACGACCUAUGGGUGAAAGCGGGGGACCGAAAGGCCUCGCGCGAUUGGAGCGGCCGAUGGCAGAUUAGGUAGUUGGUGGGGUAAAGGCCCACCAAGCCGACGAUCUGUAGCUGGUCUGAGAGGACGACCAGCCACACUGGGACUGAGACACGGCCCAGACUCCUACGGGAGGCAGCAGUGGGGAAUUUUGGACAAUGGGCGCAAGCCUGAUCCAGCCAUGCCGCGUGCGGGAAGAAGGCCUUCGGGUUGUAAACCGCUUUUGUCGGGGAAGAAAUGCUCCGGGAUAAUACCCUGGGGAGAUGACGGUACCCGAAGAAUAAGCACCGGCUAACUACGUGCCAGCCGCCGCCGUAAAAC
rnacentral:rRNA from 1 species